rnacentral:rRNA from 1 species
AUUGAACGCUGGCGGCAGACCUAACACAUGCCAGUCGAGCGGAUGAAGGGAGCUUGCUCCUGGAUUCAGCGGCGGACGGGUGAGUAAUGCCUAGGAAUCUGCCUGGUAGUGGGGGAUAACGUCCGGAAACGGGCGCUAAUACCGCAUACGUCCUGAGGGAGAAAGUGGGGGAUCUUCGGACCUCACGCUAUCAGAUGAGCCUAGGUCGGAUUAGCUAGUUGGUGGGGUAAAGGCCUACCAAGGCGACGAUCCGUAACUGGUCUGAGAGGAUGAUCAGUCACACUGGAACUGAGACACGGUCCAGACUCCUACGGGAGGCAGCAGUGGGGAAUAUUGGACAAUGGGCGAAAGCCUGAUCCAGCCAUGCCGCGUGUGUGAAGAAGGUCUUCGGAUUGUAAAGCACUUUAAGUUGGGAGGAAGGGCAGUAAGUUAAUACCUUGCUGUUUUGACGGUACCAACAGAAUAAGCACCGGCUAACUUCGUG